rnacentral:rRNA from 1 species
AGUAAAGAUUAAUUGCUAUUUUCUUAGCUUUUGUAAGAUUAGGUAGUUGGAAGUUUUAUAGACUAACAAGCCGAAGAUCUUUAGUUGGUCUGAGAGGAUGACCAGCCACGUUGGGACUGAAACAAUGCCCAUGCUUCCAUGGAGGGCAGCAGUGAGGAAUAUUGGACAAUGGGCGAAAGCUUGAUCCAGCAAUAUCGAGUGGGUGAUGAAGAUGUAUUUUGUAAAGCCAAGAAAUUAAGGAGGAUUAUGACGUGUACUUAAUGGAAAGUCCCGGCUAACUUCGUGCCAGCAGCCGCGGUAAUACGGAGGGGACAAGUGUUACUCAUAAUGACUGGGCGUAAAGGGUAUGUAGGCUGUUAAAAUAGUUGAGUUUAAAAUUUAACGUUAAUAGCGUUGAUGGGAAUUCAAAACUUUUUAGCUAGAGUGUAGCAGAGGAAAGUGGUAUCUUGCGUGGAAAGGUGAAAUUUUACGAUAUUCAGGAGACCAUCUAAGGCGAAGGCAACUUUCUGGGCUAUUUUACUGACGCUGAGAUACUGAAGCAUGGGUAGCGAAUCGGAUUAGAGACCCGAGUAGUCCAUGCCGUCAACGAUGAGUGUUACAUACUGAGG